rnacentral:rRNA from 1 species
CAGAGGUCCCGAGCGUUGUUCGGAUUCACUGGGCGUAAAGGGUGCGUAGGUGGCUUUGCAAGUCUGAUGUGAAAUCUCCGGGCUUAACCCGGAAAUGGCAUUAGAAACUGUGAGGCUUGAGGCGUUGGAGGGGGAACUGGAAUUCUCGGUGUAGCAGUGAAAUGCGUAGAGAUCGAGAGGAACACCAGUGGCGAAGGCGAGUUCCUGGACAAGUCCUGACACUGAGGCACGAAAGCCGGGGGAGCAAACAGGAUUAGAUACCCUGGUAGUCCCGGCUGUAAACGGUGCACGUUUGCUGUGAGCGGAAUCGACCCCGUUCGUGGCGAAGCUAACGCGUUAAACGUGCCGCCUGGGGAGUACGGUCGACAAGAUUA